GCUCCCAUCGUCUAGCCCGGCCAAGGACACGGGGCUUUCAACCCUGUAACACGAGUUCAAAUCUCGUUGGGAGCAC
rnacentral:tRNA from 1 species